UUGAACGCUGGCGGCAGGCCUAACACAUGCAAGUCGAGCGGAUGAAGGGAGCUUGUUCCUGGAUUCAGCGGCGGACGGGUGAGUAAUGCCUAGGAAUCUGCCUGGUAGUGGGGGAUAACGUCCGGAAACGGGCGCUAAUACCGCAUACGUCCUGAGGGAGAAAGUGGGGGAUCUUCGGACCUCACGCUAUCAGAUGAGCCUAGGUCGGAUUAGCUAGUUGGUGGGGUAAAGGCCUACCAAGGCGACGAUCCGUAACUGGCCUGAGAGGAUGAUCAGUCACACUGGAACUGAGACACGGUCCAGACUCCUACGGGAGGCAGCAGUGGGGAAUAUUGGACAAUGGGCGAAAGCCUGAUCCAGCCAUGCCGCGUGUGUGAAGAAGGUCUUCGGAUUGUAAAGCACUUUAAGUUGGGAGGAAGGGCAGUAAGUUAAUACCUUGCUGUUUUGACGUUACCAACAGAAUAAGCACCGGCUAACUUCGUG
rnacentral:rRNA from 1 species